CCGGCACGGGUGAGUAACACGUAUGCAAUCCACCUGUAACAGGGGGAUAACCCGGAGAAAUCCGGACUAAUACCCCAUAAUAUGGGCGCUCCGCAUGGAGAGCCCAUUAAAGAGAGCAAUUUUGGUUACAGACGAGCAUGCGCUCCAUUAGCCAGUUGGCGGGGUAACGGCCCACCAAGCGUACGAUGGAUAGGGGUUCUGAGAGGAAGGUCCCCCACAUUGGAACUGAGACACGGUCCAA
rnacentral:rRNA from 1 species